rnacentral:rRNA from 1 species
GAUGAACGCUGGCGGCGUGCCUAAUACAUGCAAGUCGAGCGAACAGACGAGGAGCUUGCUCCUCUGACGUUAGCGGCGGACGGGUGAGUAACACGUGGAUAACCUACCUAUAAGACUGGGAUAACUUCGGGAAACCGGAGCUAAUACCGGAUAAUAUAUUGAACCGCAUGGUUCAAUAGUGAAAGACGGUUUUGCUGUCACUUAUAGAUGGAUCCGCGCCGCAUUAGCUAGUUGGUAAGGUAACGGCUUACCAAGGCAACGAUGCGUAGCCGACCUGAGAGGGUGAUCGGCCACACUGGAACUGAGACACGGUCCAGACUCCUACGGGAGGCAGCAGUAGGGAAUCUUCCGCAAUGGGCGAAGGCCUGACGGAGCAACGCCGCGUGAGUGAUGAAGGUCUUCGGAUUGUAAAACUCUGUUAUUAGGGAAGAACAAACGUGUAAGUAACUAUGCACGUCUUGACGGUACCUAAUCAGAAAGCCACGGCUAACUACGUG